rnacentral:rRNA from 1 species
AUUGAACGCUGGCGGCAUGCCUUACACAUGCAAGUCGAACGGCAGCACGGGAGCAAUCCUGGUGGCGAGUGGCGAACGGGUGAGUAAUAUAUCGGAACGUGCCCGGUCGUGGGGGAUAACGUAGCGAAAGCUACGCUAAUACCGCAUACGAUCUACGGAUGAAAGCGGGGGAUCGCAAGACCUCGCGCGAUUGGAGCGGCCGAUAUCAGAUUAGGUAGUUGGUGAGGUAAAGGCUCACCAAGCCGACGAUCUGUAGCUGGUCUGAGAGGACGACCAGCCACACUGGGACUGAGACACGGCCCAGACUCCUACGGGAGGCAGCAGUGGGGAAUUUUGGACGAAUGGGCGCAAGCCUGAUCCAGCAAUGCCGCGUGCAGGAUGAAGGCCUCGGUUGUAAC